rnacentral:lncRNA from 1 species
CACUGACACACUUUAUUGAUACAUUAAAUCAAACAACCACUUUCUGACAUAGUUUUUUUUUAAUUCAAAUGGCGUCAGUUUAGUUAACCCUUGUGUCGAUUCAAACUGACACCAUAGUCUGACAAUCUUUAAUGAACUGCACGUUGCAUCAGUUUAAAUGCAUUUGGCGUCAGUUUAAAACGACACUAUAUCAGAACAAGCGGGAAAGUUCCCGCCUACCGUAUUUCAAAUUAGCUGACAGGAAAAUAGUUUUGUAAAAAAAAAAAGUCCCCAUACAAAAAAGAUAACGAGUUUUUUUUUUUUUUUUUUGCUUACCUCAUAUAACAUUUUAAGAUUUUAUUAAAUAAAAUUGAACUUAAAUAAAAUGCGUAAUAAAAAACAAAAAUAUAGUCUAAUUAAUACUUAAACACAUAAAACUAGUUUCAACGAUCUAACCGUCAAACAUGUUUGUAUAUACUUCGAGAUCGUAUAUGCCAAAAAUUGUAAAAAACAAACAUUCAGAUAUCAAGUAACGGGACAAAAAUUUCCGACGGUUAUAAAAUGAAAAAUCACGAUUUAACGGUUACUUUAACUCCGAUUUUGAUUAUUUUUUACAGCUACACUCCUUGACCCUAUAUGAAUACAAUGAAUGAAUUCAAUCUUCAAUUUAAAAUAUUUACACUAGUGGAUACCACAAAAUCUUUGUUAUACUUAAUGAAGGUCUAAAUAAACUCUAAGUGUUAGUGAAUCUAUCGUUUAUCCACUAGUGUAAAUAUUUUAAAUUGAAGAUUGAAUUCAUUCAUUGUAUUCAUAUAGGGUCAAGGAGUGUAGCUGUAAAAAAUCAUCAAAAUCGGAGUUAAAAUAACCAUUAAAUCGUGAUUUUUCGUUUAUAACCGUCGAAAAGUUUUGUCUCAUUACUUGAUCUCUGAAUGUUUCUUUUUUGCAAUUUUUGGUGUAUACGAUCUCGAAGUAUAUACAAACAAAUUUGACGGUUGGAUCGUUGAAAUUAGUUUCAUAGAAUGCGUAUCCCAUCAAAACUAUAGAUUCACUAAUUUAUUUAUACUUUCAUUAAGUAUAACAUAAGAUUUUGUGAUAUCCACUAGUGUAAAUAUUUUAAAUUGAAGAUCGAGUUCGUCAUUGUAUUCAUAUAAGGUCAAGGAGUGUAGCUGUAAAAAAUCAUCAAAAUCAGAGUUAAAAUAACCGUUAAAUCGUGAUUUUUCGUUUAUAAUCGUCAAAAAGUUUUGUCUCGUUACUUGAUCUCUUAAUGUUUGUUUUUUGCGAUUUUUGACGUAUGCGAUUUCGAAGCAUAAACAAACAAGUUUAACGGUUUGAUUGUUGAAAUUAGCUUCGUAGGAUGCGUAUCUCAUCAAAACGAUAGAUUUACUAACACUUAGAGUUUAUUCAUACUUUUAUUAAGUAUAACAUAAGAUUUGUGGUAUCCACUAGUGUAAAUAUUUUAAAUUGAAGAUUAAAUUCAUUCAUUGUAUGGAUAUAGGGUCAAGGAGUGUAGCUGUAAAAAAAUCAUCAAAAUCAGAGUUAAAAUAACCGUUAAAUCGUGAUUUUUCGUUGAUAACCGUCGAAAAGUUUUGUCCCGUUACUUGAUCUCUGAAUGUUUGUUUUUUGUAAUUUUUGGCGUAUGUGAUCUCGAAGUAUAUACAAACAUGUUUGAUUGUUGGAUCAUUGAAACUAAUUUCGUAGAAUGCGUAUCCCAUUGAAACAAUAGAUUCACUAACACUUAAGAAUUUAUUCAUACUUUCAUUAAGUAUAACAUAAGAUUUAUUGGUAUUCACUUGUGUAAAUAUUAGAAAUUAAAGAUCGAGUUAAUUCAUUGUAUUCAUAUAGGGUCAAGGAGUGAAGCUGUAAAAAAUCAUCAAAAUCGGAGUUAAAAUAACCGUUAAAUCGUGAUUUUUCGUUGAUAACCGUCGAAACGUUUUAUCUCAUUACUUGCUCUCUGAAUGUUUGUUUUUUGUAAUUUUUGGCGUAUGCAAUCUUGAAGUAUAUACAAAUAUGUUUGACGGUUGGAUCGUUGAAACUAGUUUCGUAGAAUGCGUAUCCCAUCAAAACAAUAGAUUCACUAACACUUAAGAGUUUAUUCAUACUUUUAUUAAGUAUAACAUAAGAUUUAUUGGUAUCCACUAGUGUAAAUAUUUGAAAUUGAAGAUCGAGUUAAUUCAUUAUAUUCAUAUAGGGUCAAGGAGUGUAGCUGUAAAAAAUCAUCAAAAUCGGAGUUAAAAUAACUGUUAAAUCGUGAUUUUUCGUUGAUAACUGUCGAAAAGUUUUGUCCCAUUACUUGAUCUCUGAAUGUUUUUUUUUUCCGAUUUUUUGCUAAUGCGAUCUCGAAGCAUAUACAAACAAGUUUGACGGUUUGAUCGUUGAAAUUAGUUUCGUAGAAUUCGUAUCCUGUCAAGUUGAAUGAUAUGUAUAUUUAAGCCGAUCCAAUGGUCACCAAUUUUUAGUAUUUAAUUUAAUAUAUAUAUAUAUAUAUAUAUAUCAUUAUUAUAAUUUUUAGGAGUAUAAAAUUGUUAAAUUAAUAUAUAUAAUUAUUAUAGUAUUUUUUUAGGGUUAUAAAAUUAUUAAAUUAAUUAGUGUCACCUAGAAGCGACACCAAUACUUUAUGUCACUUAAAAGCGACACUGUUUUGUUUAAAGCGACGCCAGU